CGUUAUCUGCUUACAAAACAUUAAUAUAUACAAAUUCCUUCAUAAGAGUUCAAUAACAAAUAAACAAAAAAAUUAAAGAGCAACCUCUAGCUCGUAAUUUACUUUGUGUUUAUAAGCGGCAAGCUCGUCUCGAAUUUUUCGGUAGAAAAAUGUCCGAACGGAGUUUUCGGGGACAGAAAAUUCAAAGUUUACACCCUUCAAAAGUUGGAGAAAGAUAUGCUCUUUGCUCUGUAACUUAACAGUUUUAACUUUGGAGAGAUGAAUUUCUUUUUUGCAAUUAAGCUGUUGAGGCUGAACAAACAAUAUCCUAUUAUUCGUUAAGAUCACAAGCACUUUAUUUUCAAUAAUGAUAUGAGCCUUAUAAAAAUCUUUAAAAUAUCUUCCAUUAUCGAGAUGUUUUAGCCAGUACUGUCCCAAAGCCUCCCGUAGUUGAAAAGGAUAUACGACACCAUCAUCACUCAUCAGUCUUGACAAUCUUAGCUUUUCUAUGUGUCGUUCAUCAAACACAGUUGUUGUAUUUCUUGCGCCUUCAGAGAUACUUGACGCAAAAUCGAAUAACCCUACCAAUGGUUUUGUCGUGAAACCCACCAAACCCUUACCUAAGCCUUUAACAAGGCCAGGAAGUCCAUUUCUCCUUGCUCCAAUAAUAGGUUGUAAGGCUAAUCCUCUGACACCACUUCGAACUCCUGUGUAAAGUGACGCAGCUCCAGCUGUCACUCCAUAAAGUAUAUGAACAGGCCGAUUUCUGAUACGAGCAGCACGUCUUCGGCUUUGGAAUUUGGGAUCCAAUGUGAUCACACUUAAGCUUCUUGAAAUAGUGCCCGUUACUUUUGAAAUACUGUCAGUGAUUCCGAAUACUGCCUUUUUAAUAAAGCUUGCAGUACCCUUGGCAAAUCCUAUACCUAAUUCAUAAGAACCCUCGUUUAAGAUAAAACCAUGAAAGGGUUCAUAAAAUAUAUCAGCAAAACCGGACGUUAUUGUGGUAAAUAAGCCAACAGGAUUUCCCAAAAAGUCUGCUGAUCCAACAAUCUUAUGCACUUGGGAUAAAAGUUCUUGAGAAUAAUGGUUUUUGACAAGUUCAAAAAGACGGCGGAGAGAAACGUGUGCAUUAUCCAUGAGAAGAGCAUUUAAACGGACUGGUGCAUCAUUUAUGUUUCCUAUUGCCAUUGAUAAAACAUUCACGAAAAAGACAAAUGGAUUAUGUGAAGAGACAACGGUGCCAUCAGUAUUAUUGAUCCUCUCCGUACGAACGAAAGACAGAUGCAUUUCAGUGGGUUGCAAAUUAAGCACUUCAAAAUACACUUUCAAAUCAUUUCCUAGAUUUUCUGGUACAAGUUCCAGCGAAUCAUCAAACAUCUUGCCGGUAUUUCUUUUGCUUCGGGGCACAGAGUCCUUGAUGUAUUCGAGUGCAGCAAAAGCAAAGUCCUCAUCAAUUUCAAUAGUUAAUUCCUGAAGUAAUAUAGUAGCAUAUUUUACGUAAGUCACACCGUAUGUAUCAUUCUUGACAACUGCAACCAUUGAGUGAAACGUUGGUAAAAGUGAAUUGUCAUUCAUUGUGUCUUCCUGUGAUAGAAUACUUGGAUAGAGGAUAAUUGGAUAAAUUCCUCCAUAAAGCUGGUUGUCAAUUUGUAUCCAUCGAACAUCUAAUUUAAAAGUGCGUAUAAGAUGGGAAUCUGUAAAGAACAAGUUGAUCCCAUGAAAGGUCAAAUACGCUAAUUCUUGCGUAUUCCGUUCUACCAAAGAUAUCCCAAUUCCCUCCAGCAAAAAUUUGACGGACAAGUCAAUCCCGGAGUCAAAUUGCUCCAAAUUAAAAUCGCGUUCUUCAGUUGAGACUUUGCUGUAUAUCUUCGGCUUCCUCACAGCCUUUGAAGGAUCAUAGUCUUUUAGAAUAAGAAUUUUCGAAAGCCCAUUAGCGACUAUAUCUCGUGAAAUAAAUUUUGUAUUAUUG
rnacentral:lncRNA from 1 species